GCGCCUGCAGCCCAACGGCAGAGGCAGCGGUUCGAGAAGCCGCGCGGUGUCCGUUCGAGUCGGACCUGGCGCACCA
rnacentral:tRNA from 1 species